GACAGAGGUGCCGAGCGUUAGGCGGAAUCACUGGGCUUAAAGCGUGUGUAGGCGGGUCGUUAAGUGUCUUGUGAAAUCCCACCGCUCAACGGUGGAACUGCUGGGCAUACUGGCGAUCUUGAGCCACCUAGGGGCAGACGGAACAAGCGGUGGAGCGGUGAAAUGCGUAGAUAUCGGGAGGAACACCGGUGGCGAAGGCGGCGACCUGGGUAGAUACUGACGCUGAGGCGCGAAAGCGUGGGGAGCAAACAGG
rnacentral:rRNA from 1 species